GGGUCCGGACACACUGAGGAUUGACAGAUAUAUAUACACCGUCGGUACUUGUAUCGCGGUGUUGAAAGAUGCUAGUUCUUUCAUGAUUAUGUGAUAGGUGGUGCAUGGCCGUUCUUAGUUCGUGGAGUGAUCUGUCUGCUUAAUUGCGUAUCGUAAAAAGAGACCUAGUAUACGCGUAAGAUAUCGUUUACGGCUCGUGACCCCCUUCGGGCGUGUGUCGCACGUACGUAUCAUACGCACUGGUCUCCGAUAGCAACGAACGUGACCGUACUCUAUUGUUGCAGCGAAUGUAUGCAUCUUCGGGUGUAUCUACCGCUGCUUAGCAUAUUUCAUGCCUCGUGCGUGUGUAUGCAUUAAACUAUAGAGACCGCUGUAUUUUUUUUAAACCAGAGGAAGGAUACGGCAAUAACAGGUCUGUGAUGCCCUCAGAUGUUCCGGGCUGCACACGUGCUACAAUGAUCAUUGCACUGUGCAUCUAACCCAAUGUGCGUGGACGCCACGGUAUGUAUUUAUGCUUCGGCGUAGUAUAUAUCAGUUGGUCGGCCGCGCCGAACCUACUUCGAAAGUAAAAUUUCUCAGUGGGU
rnacentral:rRNA from 1 species